rnacentral:tRNA from 1 species
GGGGAUGUGGCUCAGUGAUAGAGCACUUGCCUGGCAUGUAUGAGGCCCUAGGUUCUAUCUCCA